CAUCCCGAGGAGGGGACCCCUCCCGCCCCGCCGCGACCCCCGCCUCGCCCUCACCUCCGAGCUGGUCUCGUCGGACCCGAGAUGGACAUCAACGCCGUGGAGCCGAGCGGCCGGACGGGCGAUGCAUGGGGGGCCAGACCCAAACACACGCUGGCCCCCCGCACCGGACCCCGCGGAGCCUCCAAAUAUCUCCCGGCUGAAGUCACCGGCCCGACAUACCGUGCGCUGCGCGCCCGGCGGCGCAGCCCCGCGGACACCCGCUUGGCCCCGCGGCGGCCGUGCCGGGCCGUGCCGGGCCGGGGUAACCCAACACCGAGCCUCGGCGGCUGCCGGAGCUCCGGCACGGCCCCCCCCCCCCGGCCCCGCCGCCACCCCCUCCUCGCACCCCGCCGGCCGCAGGUGCCCCGGGUGCUCCGCGCUGCGCUGCGCGGCCCCUGCGCGGGGGGCAGCGGCGGGGGGACGCGCGGGAGGCCGCGGCGAAGUGGCCGUAAACAGUCUCGGCUUACAGCCCCGCGCCCUGUAUUUAUGACUCACCCAGUUGUCCGGAGGUAUGAGGUCCUCAUGUCGCCGGUGCUAUGAAAUUAACGCGGCGGGCGGCUGGGGAGAGCACAGGGAUUGUGCGCCGGCCAAUAAAGCGCUUCGUCUGCA